CCUACGGGUGGCAGCAGUGAGGAAUAUUGGUCAAUGGGCGGAAGCCUGACCCAGCCAAGUAGCGUGCAGGAUGACGGCCCUACGGGUUGUAAACUGCUUUUAUACGGGAAUAACGCGCCUUACGUGUAGGGCUUUGCAUGUACCGUAUGAAUAAGGAACGGCUAAUUCCGUGCCAGCAGCCGCGGUAAUACGGAAGGUCCGGGCGUUCUCCGGAUUUAUUGGGUUUGAAGGGAGCGUAGGCCGCAUGUCAAGCGUGCUGUGAAAUGUCCGGGCUCAACCCGGGCCUUGAAGCGGGAACUGGCGGGCUUGAGUGCGCGGAAAGCAGGCGGAAUUCGUCGUGUAGCGGUGAAAUGCUUAGAUAUGACGAAGAACCCCGAUUGCGAAGGCAGCUUGCUGGAGCGGAACUGACGCUGAUGCUCGAAAGCGCGGGUAUCGAACAGGAUUAGAUACCCUAGUAGUC
rnacentral:rRNA from 1 species